rnacentral:lncRNA from 1 species
UUUGUCCCAGCCAUCUUGGAGAGUAUCUCUGAGGAAGGGAGAAGACUGGGGCAGGUGUGGAGUGUAUGCUGGAGACCCCCUCCCCCAUCACUCUGCUGCACAGAUCUGCUACAUGCUGAGCACUUGGAGUGUCAUCCUCUACCUGCGGCUGCCCUGGAUUACUGCUCAGGCAGGGACAAGUAUGAGUUCAGAACUCUCCUUGGCAGUAGCAAGGGAUUCAGGGUACAUGGCCUGAAUCAACUAAUUCCUGUCCCACUCCAGGGUUCACGUGGCUCAUUACCCGGCUCUUGGCCUCAGUCAGUACUCCUAACUGCCUUGACCAUCUCAGCCAUCUCCGUCAAUGGCAAAGUCAAGGCUGGCGGUCCACACUUCCUCAACUCAUGGUGCCUGCGUCCAGAGCUUCACAGUUCCACGGGGAUCAUCUUUGUCUCUGCCAGCAUCACAGCUGUGGCUAUGUAUGCAGUGGGCUUUGCAGAGAUCCUCUUGGGUCAGCUCCAGGUAGGUCGUGCCUAUCCUUUCUCUUUUUGUCCUUUUUUCUCAAGUUUGCUGACUUUGGAAGGUCUAACCCUGCACUGUAGCUCCAGCUUGGGCAAAUCAUUUCAAAAGUCAUACGGAGACAUCGAAUCAGCCAAGAAGCACUCCGUAAUGUCUGUGGAACGUGGGGUGCAGCUGCUGUACAUGGACCCGGAAGAUGAGGUGUGGGGGUGCACGUGGGGAAAUGACUAUCUUCUGGGUGUGGCACCGGCCAGCACACCGUGGGAACCUAAGGCAGCUGCCAGGAAACUGAAGCGGGGAUGAGGAAGCUGAAGGGAGGGUGGUGAGUGGGACCAAACAGCAAUGGCGGAGAUGUGGGGAGCAGCUGCCACCUGAAAAGGCUCAGCCAAGUAUGGAAAGAGCUGAUGUUGCAGGUUUCCAUGGAAAGCAACUUGAAGUCAGAUGGUUUUGUUGGGUGAGGCUCCACACCCCAGCUCAAGAAGAAAGGAAAGAGGCCUUGUUCUGAAGGCCUGGUGGGAUGUGCACCAGGCAAGACUAAGCGGAGGGUAGCGAUGAGAAAUGACACGUACUGCCCUCAGAUGUCUACAGUUUUAAGAUCCGCCUCUGGCGUGAGCAGGAAUACCUUGCAGCUGGAGGGAAGAAAGAAAGGAUGCUCAUUUGGCCAGGACUUCUUCAUGGGAACAGGUUGGUGGAAAGGGAAGGAGAAGGCUAAGAGGAGCAGUAAAAUGGGACAAAGAGAAUUAGUGAGGACUUGGAAGUCACCCCUUUUUCUCCCUCUCACAUUUCCCCCUUCUCUUUUUGUCACCCAUGGUAUUUUAGAACCAAGUUUUCUUCUUCUUUUUUUUUUUUUUUUUUGGUUUUUUGGUUUUUUCCGGUACCGGGAAUUGAACUCAUGACCUUGCGCUUUCUAGGCAGGAGCUGUGCUGCUGAGCUAAAUUCCCAGCCCCUUUCUUCUUCCUCUUUUUUUUUUUUUUUAAAUUAUAAAGAGUAAAAGAAGGAUAACAUAAUAAUGGGGGGGCUUACCAAAUUACAG